UACGAAGGGGGCUAGCGUUGUUCGGAAUCACUGGGCGUAAAGCGCGCGCAGGCGGUCAUCUACGUCUGGGGUGAAAGCCCGGAGCUCAACUCCGGGAUUGCCUUGGAUACGGGAUGACUUGAGGAUCGGAGAGGCAAGGGGAAUUCCACGUGUAGCGGUGAAAUGCGUAGAGAUGUGGAGGAACACCUGUGGCGAAGGCGCCUUGCUGGCCGAUUUCUGACGCUGAGGCGCGAAAGCGUGGGGAGCAAACAGG
rnacentral:rRNA from 1 species